UAAAGCGGGUGAAAAGCCCGCUCGCCGGAAGACCAAGGGUUCCUGUCCAACGUUAAUCGGGGCAGGGUGAGUCGACCCCUAAGGCGAGGCCGAAAGGCGUAGUCGAUGGGAAACGGGUUAAUAUUCCCGUACUUGGUGUUACUGCGAAGGGGGGACGGAGAAGGCUAUGUUGGCCGGGCGACGGUUGUCCCGGUUUAAGCGUGUAGGCUGGUUUUCCAGGCAAAUCCGGAA
rnacentral:rRNA from 1 species